rnacentral:rRNA from 1 species
GGUCUAAAACAUCCGUAGCCUGUCUGUUAAAUGCCCUGUGAAAUCGUUCUGCCUAACAGGACGGCGUGCAGGGUAGACUGAUAGACUAGGGACCGGGCGAGGUAAGCGGUAUUCCGGGGGGAGCGGUAAAAUGUGAUAAUCCUCGGAGGACCACCGAUGGCGAAGGCAGCUUACCAGAACGGAUCCGACGGUGAGGGAUGAAAGCUAGGGGAGCGACCCGGAUUAGAUACCCGAGUAGUCCUAGCCGUAAACACUGUGUGCCAGAUGUUGCGUAAUCCCCGAGAUUGCGCAGUGUCGAAAUGAAGAUGUUAAGCACACCACCUGGGAAKKUACGGUUGAAAGGCUGAAACUUAAAGGAAUUGACGGAAU